GAUGAACGCUGGCGGCGUGCCUAAUACAUGCAAGUCGAGCGAACAGAUAAGGAGCUUGCUCCUUUGACGUUAGCGGCGGACGGGUGAGUAACACGUGGGUAACCUACCUAUAAGACUGGAAUAACUCCGGGAAACCGGGGCUAAUGCCGGAUAACAUUUAGAACCGCAUGGUUCUAAAGUGAAAGAUGGUUUUGCUAUCACUUAUAGAUGGACCCGCGCCGUAUUAGCUAGUUGGUAAGGUAACGGCUUACCAAGGCAACGAUACGUAGCCGACCUGAGAGGGUGAUCGGCCACACUGGAACUGAGACACGGGCCAGACUCCUACGGGAGGCAGCAGUAGGGAAUCUUCCGCAAUGGGCGAAAGCCUGACGGAGCAACGCCGCGUGAGUGAUGAAGGUCUUCGGAUCGUAAAACUCUGUUAUUAGGGAAGAACAAAUGUGUAAGUAACUGUGCACGUCUUGACGGUACCUAAUCAGAAAGCCACGGCUAACUACGUG
rnacentral:rRNA from 1 species